UACGUAGGGGGCUAGCGUUGUCCGGAAUCAUUGGGCGUAAAGAGCGUGUAGGCGGCCGGUAAGUCCGCUGUGAAAGUCGGGGGCUCAACCCUCGAAUGCCGGUGGAUACUGUCGGGCUAGAGUGCGGAAGAGGCGAGUGGAAUUCCUGGUGUAGCGGUGAAAUGCGCAGAUAUCAGGAGGAACACCAAUUGCGAAGGCAGCUCGCUGGGACGUAACUGACGCUGAGACGCGAAAGCGUGGGGAGCGAACAGG
rnacentral:rRNA from 1 species